GUGCACCAGUCGAGAAUACUUUACAAUGUGCGAAAGCACGAUAAGGGAACUCUGAGUGCCUCCUAAGGAGGCUGUUCAGGUGUCUAAAAGCACCUGAAGGAAGGGCUGGGUAAGACCGGUGCCAGCCGCCGCGGUAACACCGGCAGCCCAAGUGGUAGCCACGUUUAUUGGGUCUAAAGCGUCCGUAGCCGGCUGGGUAAGUUCCUUGGGAAAUUUGGCUGCUUAACAGUCAAGCUUUCAGGGAAUACUGCCCGGCUUGGGACCGGGAGAGGUCAGAGGUACUCCAGGGGUAGGGUGAAAUCCAUUAAUCCUUGGGGGACCACCGGUAGCGAAGGCGUCUGACCAGACCGGGUCCGACGGUGAGGGACGAAGGCUAGGGGCGCGAACCGGAUUAGAUA
rnacentral:rRNA from 1 species